GCGGAUGGGGCGCGUCCCCGCCGGUCGCGCGAGCCUGUUGCCAUGGUAAUGCUCGCCCGGCCGCCCGAGGGGCCGGCGGGAAUGCGGCGCGCUCUGGCAAGAUGGCGUCCGCGAGGUCGCGGGGUGCGCGGUGAGCGCCGGCCGCCGUCGCUCCGCCCGGCCGGUCGCGCUUCAGGUCGGCCCGCCCGCGCGCGCCCCGCGGGCCCAUGGCGGCGACAGGUGCGGGCGCGCGGCGGCUUGCCGGGCUGCCGCGGGCCGGGCGCGCCCCUCGCUAACGCGCGCGUAACUUUUCCUCGCCGCGGCCCCCCGCGGCCUCCGCGCCACGCCCCCCGGGCCGCCGCCCCGCCGAGGUGCCGUCUGCCGGCCGCCGCGGGAGCUAGGAGCGCCGGGAGGCGCGGCUCCACCAUGGCCCUGACCCUGUUCGAUACAGAUGAAUAUAGACCUCCUGUUUGGAAAUCUUACUUAUACCAGCUGCAGCAGGAAGCCCCUCACCCUCGAAGGGUCACCUGCACUUGCGAGGUAGAAAACAGACCAAAGUAUUAUGGAAGAGAGUUUCAUGGCAUGAUCUCUAGAGAAGAGACUGACCAGCUCCUGAGUGUGGCUGAGGGGAGCUACCUCAUCCGUGAGAGCCAGCGGCAGCCCGGAACAUACACUUUGGCUUUAAGCUCCUGCCACCCACCACCUUAUCCUUCCUUCCAUUGCUCCAGCAUUUGUUGGACUUCUUCAUCAGGUGACUCAUGGGUAUCUGUUUCUUUGGGCUAAUACCCAGGAGGUUUGUUGAGUGGUUUCGCUCCUAGACCUUUAUGUGUCUCCGUUUCUUGGCUUUUGUUGUUUUUGGUUUGUUUGGGGCUAGUCCAUUGUCCUGCCCCAACUUGUAUGAAUUUUCAGAACCGGCUGUUCUCUUAUUCCCUGUAUGCUGGUUGUAUACAAGAAAUCUUUUAGCCAUCAGCUUUUUCAAUCAUUUGGAGAACCUCUGGAAUUUUGGGGGUUAGACUGACUUUUUUUUUCUUUUUGGUUUGUGUAUAUAAUCUUCCAAUUGGAGAAGUUUGCCAGCUUCUACCAAAGGAGCUUUUACUCCCUUUCUCCUUUUCUGAUGUUUUAUAUGUGUCAUACCAGGUUCUGAGGUGUAAAGCAGCCAGAUGCCCCACCCCAUACUUCAUUCUCAGCAGCUUUCAGUUAUCCAACAGAGCUGACCUGGUAUAGCCAUGGGUUCUAGACUGAAAGUAUCCUUCCCUUAAUAUUGCAUCUGUACUGCACAUAUACAGAUGUUUUUCUUGUCAUUACCCCCAGAAGAGUAUAGCAUAUGAUGUUUACAAAGCUUACAUUGUAUUAGAUAUUUCAGUACCUGGAGAUAUUGAAAGCAUAUGGAAGACUAUAUGUUUUAUAUGUCUGCUGUGCCAUUUUAUUGAAGGGACCUGAGUUUCUGCAGCAUUUGCUCUCCAUGGAGGUCCUAGAACUAGUCUCCUGUGGACAUUAUAUAGCUGUAUGCCAGAUCCCAAAAUGAGUGCAGCAGACACAAUCCUUUGUACAUCUAAGUAGCCAGAGCCCUUUAUAUAUACCCUGCCCUUCCUCAUUUGCUAAGGGAGAAGUCAUGAUUUGCGUAACCUUGCCCACUCACAGUGAGGUACACUGGACUCUGUGGGUGGCACCACAGGCCCUCUUUUGCUGCAUCAAGCUUGUCCUUGCUCUCAUUGGCUUCACUGCUGCCCUCAUCCAAACAAUGCUGAUUCCAUUAGCAUUCUGUGUCAGGCAAGAGAAAAACUAAGCUCUCAGGAAGCUCUGGAAAAGCCCAAAUGAAUGCAUAUUUCAUUCUUCUCCUCCCACCCACCCAGAGACCACAGGCACUGCUGAGCUGUGCCAACUUGGAGCAAUGCUUACCGCAGAUGACUUGAAAGGCUGUCUGUACCCUUCCAGUGCAUCUCAUCUGAGCUGUGCUCGGACUGCCGAAGCCUUUAAAUUGCUUUCUGAAGAGCUCAGAUAGGUGUUUGAUUUAUAAUUGAUAUAGAACCCUUAUCUUAGUAAAUGUGCCAUUUCCUUUGACUUAACUGCCCUUGCAUGUAUCCUAUACUCCUUGAACCUAGUAGAACAGCAGCCUCGUGAGUCUCUCCUGCUAUCUCCUGGCUAAGGAGCUGCCUGUGGCUCUUGCAAUCUGAGUGUCCUGCCCAGUUUGUUGUAGUUUUAGGUACCUCGUCAGCCAUCGCUCUGCUUCUGCUCUCAGCAGUGAUUAUCCUGCAAACUACACGUUGGCUCUUUCUGCUAAGAUGUCAGAAUUUUGCCAAGCAUUCCAAUAGCUGUUUCCUGCUAGGUUUUUAGGUUCACUGAGAAAUCUCCUGACCUCAGGUGUUGUGACUUUUCAGGAAUGUGCCCAGUGUGUAAGGUUACAUUCGAAUCCCUGUUUCAUGUUUAUGCCUGGUGCAUUUUUCAUAUUGCUAUUAAAUAGAAUUUUCUAAAAGAUCUAAAAGUGUUCUUCAAAUGCAGCUAAGCAGAAGGUACACCUACAGAGAAAGGUUAUUUAUGUGUCCUCCCCACCCCCAUCUUUAAAAAUGAAAUGAGGUCCUUAGGGGCAGGGAGGAAGCCUUAGUCAUCUUGACUGCAGAGGCAUCUACAGAAAUGCAUAUAUGGGUUUGUUCAGUAUGGCAUUGGAUUGUGACUCAUCAGAGUCCUAGUACCUCCUUAGGACACAGUUCUCUGCAUGAAAAAAACAAAAACACAAACAGAACAAAAAACAAAACCAGAGAGCCAUUUUCACUCAGUUCAUUCUAGUAGACAGAUUUGCGAUUCCUUUGCUCCGUUGCUUGAAAGGAUACAUUUUGAUGACUAAUUUAGCCCUGUGCUUUUAAAUCAGUGUAGGUGAUCAGUGACUGAGAACAUGUUGGUCACACAGUCCUGGGUUCAGACUCUGAUUUCUAAGUUCUCUCUUUGACUCUGGACAAGUUACUUAAUCUUGUCUUAGUUUCCUUUGUUGUAAAGGAAAGGAGGAUGUAAUAGCAAUACCUCAUGGAAUUAGGAAGGUUACAUGGCGUAAUAUACAUGCACUUCUAGUGUAGCAUAGCACUGAAAUUAUUGUUGGUAUGGAAAGAAUCAGCUACGUUGUUAGUGGUUAAGUCACUGUUUAUCAGACAUUAAGAAUCAAUAAUUGGCACUCAUAGUUAUGAUAGAAAUAUCUUGGAUUCUCAAAUAUUUGCUAUAUACAUUGAAAUCUUAAGGAUGCCCAGUUCUGAACAUGAGGUUCUUCCCAUGCACUGUGCAUAUAACCUGAGACAUUGUUAUACAGCACGUUAGUGCUCUUCCAUGCUGUGUCAUGUGAGGCUACAUGUAGGGUUUUCUUCUGUACAUCAUGCUAGUCCUCAGAAAUUGGGGUUUUAGCCUAAUUUUAGCCUGGUUAAGAUGACUUAUUUCAGAUUAGAGAUGCUGACUAUGAGUCUCCACUGGAAACAAAGAAUCAGAGUUGCAUAGGCAAAUACAACUUCCUGCCACCACGCCUGGAAAUCCUGGUCUGGUCACUUGAAAUCAGAUGAGCACAAUAGUCAACAGUUUAAAGCAAACCUUUAUGCUAAAGACAGGGGCAUCCAAAAAUAAGUGAACAUAUAUGUUUUACGGUUCCAUUAAUUUAUUAUUUUUACUUUGUUUUAAUUAAUAUGUGUGUAUAUAUGUGACCUUGAGUGUGUGUGCAUUGGAAGUCAGGGGACAACUUUCAGUAGGGUGGUCUUUACUGUGUUUACAGUAGGGGCUGUGCUAUCACUUCUUCUGCCAUACUCUGGGUUGCUGGCUGCCGCCCACCUCACCGUGGGAAUACUGAGGUAACAGCUGAACUUAGGUUGCCGGGCUUUUGUGAGCAGCACUUUUACCUUGUGAGCCAUCUCGCUGGCCUCAUGAUUCUAUUUCUAUAAAACAAACGUGUAAUGGCAGCCAGCAGAAGUGGCUCAGUGCAAUGAAGAGCAGUCAGACAGGCUGUGGAGAAGCACAGGGAAAUUUGGGGAGCUGUUGGGAUGUCUUGCAAUCUUACCCAUGAUUAAAACUUUACUGAAUUGUACUCUAGCAAUGAAUAUGGGAUGCUGUGUAAGUAAUAGGCAUUUGAUGAGGAAAAUGCAGUAAUCUGCUGACCAUUUGUAGAUAGCUGGUACUAAACAUAAAAGCAUGUAAUAGCCCAAAUUCAGCUUCCAAAACAGGGCCUGAAAGCCAGAAGUAAAUGAGGCUGGCUCUGGCUGGCUAAUAGAACCAAGAACACUUGUGUCUGUUGCGAAGGAGCACUUAGUAAGCUCAGUACAGUCUGCUUAGAGUCUAAAGACAUUUUUUAAAAUACCCUUACUAGUGCAGGGGUGUGGUCCUUCAUGACAGGGAGGUCAAGGCGGCAGGAACUCAGAGUAGACAGUCACAGUGUAGCCACAAUCAGGAAAGAGAUGGACGCUCACUGACGCUCAGCUCCCCUCUACUCACACAGUCUGGGCUCCUAGACAUGGAAUGGCACCACCCAUAGUGGAUGACUCUUCCCACCUCAUCUAACACAGUCAAGAUAAUCCCCCACAGGCAUGCUCAAAGGUCCAUCUCCUAGGUGAUUUCUAGACUCUGUCAAGUGACAGCACUCAGCAUCACAGCAAAUCAGUGCCUUACAAUACACUGUAGGAUGUUUCUGCAUCUGCCCAUUAGAGUAAUAUAGUAACGAACCUGGAUCACCAAGAAAAAUACUAAAUCAUAGUCUGUCUGUACUUAGAGUGUUUUCUCAGGCACACCAGAAGAGGGCAUGAGAUCCCAUUACAGAUGGCUGUGAGUCACCAUGUGGUUGCUGGGAAUUGAACUUAGAACCUCUGGAAGAGCAGUCGGUGCUCUUAACCGCUGAGCCAUCCUUUGCUACUUAGAGUGUUUUUAUACCAGAAUUAUUCAAAAAUGGCACUACACCGUAUAAAGGAUUUAAGAAUCUGAGAAACUGUGAGCGUGUAUCCUUAGGUUUGCACACACACACUUGCAUAUGAUAUAGAAUGUUCCAAAGACAUUUGCAUGGAUGUCUGUUUUCUUAGACCUGUGCUGCAGAGUAAAUUUUUCUUCUGAAAUAGAUUCAUUUUAAACAAGAUGUCAGUAACCUUUUGGUGGAACUGAUCAUUAAUUCUUUCUUUCUCUAUUUUGUUUGUUUUGCUUUGCUUUUCAAGACAGGGUUUCUCUGUUUAACAGCCUUGCCAGUCCUAGGACUGGAUUUGUAGUCCAGCCUGUCCUUGAACUCACAGAGAUUUGUUUGAUUUGUUUCCCUCUGCCUUCUGAAUGCUGGGAUUAAAGGUGUAUGCCACCCCCCCCCCCAGCAUCAUUCUUAAGUAAGUGAAAUCUAUUGGUAAUUUUACAAACACAUUGAAUGUUUCUGGAUACACUGUGGUUUCUAAAAGAUUUAGAUAUGUGUAUAAUAUUUUUCUGUAAAUAAAAAUAUAUAAAUGUAUAUAGUUCUUAGUAAAGGGUUUAGGAAGAGUUUUCUGUAUAAGUGAUAAGAUAAAAAUCAGUAUCGAGGUACUCCUGACUCACUAGAGUGGAGAGAGCAUCAUGUAAUCAGUUGUCGGUGUGGAAAGCCCCUUCGUAUGUAUCGCAUACCUCACCACACUGAGAGCACUAAGGAUCUGUAGUGGCAAUGUGGAAUGGUACUAAUAAGCCUGUAGCACUCUCACCGUGUUGACAGUUCUAUAUAAUACCAGUGAACUUUUCAAAAUAAGUUUUGUUGUAUAUGUUGCCAUCUAACUCAGGAGAAAGUAUUAGUGGAAUCAUGUAGAAAUAAUUGUAUAGCAUAUAUUACUUAUUCCCAAGAAUAGAUCUCACUAUGACCUGCAUCUAUGUAUGUCCUUAAGUUUGGUCAUUUUUCAGCCCCUGUUGCACUCUCCAUCCCUCUGUCUUGCACUGAAACCCUUCUUCCCAAAAGAGUCCCCUUAGUUCCCCACUCCCUGUUUUUAGUCAGGCUCUCAGUCUAUAAUCCAGGCCACCUUUGAACUUGUGGCAACUCUCUUGCCUCAGCCUCCUAGGUGCUGUAAUUAGAGCCAUUUGCCACCAUAUUAGGUCUAUUUUGAGUCAAAUUGCUCAGUGGUCAUUUGCUUAUUAGCCAUUGUAAGUGUCAGAUAUUGUGUUAGCCUCUAGUGCUUUAAACCAACAGCCAGUACUAUCUGGCAGCCUUUUUAAGUGUUUCUCUUUUUUCCUUAGAAGCAGUACUGUGUGACCAGCUCUGAGGACGGGGAAAAUAGGAUAUGGAAUGGAAUUUACCAUCACAGCAUUUGAUUUUCUGUUUUACUGGAAUUUAUGCAGUUUCACUUUUUGAAGAUUGUUGAUAUAUGUGUUUGUGACAAGUCAGGGGAAGUACUUAAAUAUAAAAAUAACCUUUGGUAGCUGUGUAUAGUGGCCCACACCUUUAAUCCCAGCAGGAGGACCAGUGGAUCUCUAUGAGUUCAAGGCCAGCCCGUUCUACAUAGCAAGUUCCAAGAUAUACUAUAUAGCCAGAGCUAUAUAGUAGAAAGAUCUUAUCCCAAAAAUCUAUAUUUGUAUCUAUACCUACCUAUAGAUAACCUAUGACAACAGUAGCCAUAUAUGUGUUAUAUUUUUAUUUAUUUGUUUAUUUGUAAAAUAUAAAAAUAUGCUUAUUUGUAAAAUACCCUGUGUUAUAUGUGAAAUAUGGUGUAAUAUUUUGCAGUAUUAUAUUCCUUCAGGAUAAGUAUGUAAACGUAUGCCCAGCCCUAGUACUGGGCUUACAGUGUCAUAGGGUAUGUGUGCCUGUGUUCAACCUGACUGUAUGGUGUAACUAAAUCUCUCUGACAAACAGUGCAGCAGCCAUGGUCUCUGUAGCAAUUCUCUAUAUUUGCUGGUGUUUAGUAAUGUCAGACUUAUUAAACUUUGCCAAUCUGAGGUUUUUAUUUAUAAUUACUGCUCUAUUUUAAGUGCCUUGUUAUAUUUAUCUAUAUAAUAUGAGCCUAUUUUUACAAAGUAUAUAAAUUUCUGUCCUUCCUUUGUGAUUUUCCUAGAUUCUUCUCUUUGAUUUCAGAUUUCCUCUUUGAUUUCUACCGUGACUGUUUACCUUGUGUCUUCUGUGUAGCAUGAUAUAUCUAUGCUUGGCUAACUUCUAUUCAAGAAUCUAAAGAAGAGAUAGCCUAGAGUUUAGCAGGUUAAUGCUUUAAAUAGAUAUUUUUGUCCCUGCGAAUGAUUUCUUUCCCUCAGUUUGUCUUGAUUCUGUCCAUCGUAGUCUUUGUUUUCCCUGAAGUUUUUUCUGAGACACCGUGUGGUUGCUGGAUGAUUACCACACUCUUGGCCCAUAUAUAUACAGCCACCAAAACUAGAUAAGAUGGAUGAAGCUGAAAAGUGCAUGCUGAAAUGGACCAGAUAUAGAGCUCUCCUGAGAGACACAUCCAGAGCAUGUCCAAUACAGAGGUCAAUGCUAGCAGCAAACCACUGAACUGAGAACAGGACCCCCUUGAGGGGAAUUAGAGGAAGGAUUGAAAGAGCUGAAGGGGCUUGCAACCUCAUAAAAACAACAAUGCCAACCAACCAGAGCUUCCAGGGACUAAUCCACUACCCAAAGACUAUACAUGGACUGACCCAGGGCUCCAACUGCAUAUGUAGCAGAGAAGAACCUUAUUGUGGCAGUAGGGAUAGGGGAAGCCCUUGGUCCUGCCAAGGUUGUACCCCCAGUGCAGGGGAAUGUCGGAGUAGGGGGGAGCAGUAAGGGGGAUGGAUGGGAGGAACACCCAUAUGGGGGAGGGGGAAGGAAUGGGGGGCUUAUGGACCAGAAACCGGAAGAGGGAAUAACAUUUGAAAUGUAAAUAAAAAAAUAUAUCUAAUAAAAAAUAAAAUUUAAAAAAAUAAGUCUAACAGAAAAAAAUGUGUAUUUGGCAUUUAGGCUCAGCUGUAAUGCUCAGAACUCAGGGGGUCUGACAGCUACAGGAGGGUGCUUAUUGUAGAGUUAAUGGGAUUUCCCCCAGAGAAGUCUAAUGUCUCCUAUCAGGAAAGGUAAAGUGGAGAUCUCCAUCUCCUUGUUUCUAGAAUGCCACCUCUACCUUCAGAAUGCCUGUGUUCCUUUAGUCUCUGCUCCUUUCUCUCCAAUGUGCUGAACUUAGUUCUCCCGGAAGAGGAUGAGGAGUGAGAUUUGGAAGUCAGACCAGAAACUUCAGGCUGUACUACGAUGGAAAGCACUUUGUUGGGGAGAAACGCUUUGAGUCCAUCCACGAUCUGGUGACUGAUGGCUUGAUUACUCUCUAUAUUGAAACCAAGGCAGCAGAAUACAUUGCCAAGAUGACGAUAAACCCAAUUUAUGAGCACAUAGGAUACACAA